rnacentral:rRNA from 1 species
UAAUACGAAGGGGGCUAGCGUUGUUCGGAAUUACUGGGCGUAAAGGGCGCGUAGGCGGUUGGAAUCGUCGGAUGUGAAAGGCCUGGGCUUAACCUGGGAACGGCAUUCGAUACGGUCUGACUAGAGUGUGGGAGAGGAUGGUGGAAUUCCCAGUGUAGAGGUGAAAUUCGUAGAUAUUGGGAAGAACACCGGUGGCGAAGGCGGCCAUCUGGACCACAACUGACGCUGAGGCGCGAAAGCGUGGGGAGCAAACAGGAUUAGAUACCCUGGUAGUCCACGCUGUAAACGAUGUGUGCUAGAUGUUGGGAGACCUAGUCUCUCGGUGUCGUCGCUAACGCUUUAAGCACACCGCCUGGGGAGUACGGUCGCAAGAUUA